GACGAACGCUGGCGGCGUGCCUAAUACAUGCAAGUCGAACGCAGUGGGGACGGGUGAGUAACCCGUGGGUAACCUCCCAUCAGAGGGGAUAACACUUGGAAACAGGUGCUAAACCGAUACUGAUGGAUGGACCCGCGGGGCAUUAGCUAGUUGGUGAGGUAACGGCUCACCAAGGCCACGAUGCAUAGCUGACCGGAGAGGGUGAUCAGCCACACUGGGACUGAGACACGGCCCAGACUCCUACGGGAGGCAGCAGUAGGGAAUCUUCGGCAAUGGACGAAAGUCUGACCGAGCAACGCCGCGUGAGUGAAGAAGGUUUUCGGAUUGUAAAACUCUGUAGUUAGGGAAGCGUUACCUAACCAGAAAGCAACGGCUAACUACGUGCCAGCAGCCGCGGUAAUAC
rnacentral:rRNA from 1 species